rnacentral:rRNA from 1 species
AGCAGCCGCGGUAAUUUCAGCUCCAAUAGCGUAUAUUAAAGUUGUUACAGUUAAAAAACUCGUAGUUGAAUUUCGGGAUCAGUACGCUGGUCGUGCCUUCGGUAUGUACUGGUGUUACUGGUUCCUACCUUCUGACGAACCGUCAUGUCAUUAAUUUGGUGUGGCGGGGAAUCAGGACUGUUACUUUGAAAAAAUUAGAGUGUUUAAAGCAGGCUCGCGCUUGAAUACAUUAGCAUGGAAUAAUGAAAUAGGACGUUCGAUCCUAUUUUGUUGGUUUCUAGGAUCAACGUAAUGAUUAAUAGGGAUAGUUGGGGGCAUUAGUAUUCAAUUGUCAGAGGUGAAAUUCUUGGAUUUAUUGAAGACUAACUACUGCGAAAGCAUUUGCCAAGGAUGUUUUCAUUAAUCAAGAACGAAAGUUAGGGGAUCGAAGAC